UUGAACGCUGGCGGCGUGCCUAACACAUGCAAGUCGCACGUGAAAGUCCUUCGGGGCGAGUAAAGUGGCGCACGGGUGAGUAAUGCAUAGGAACGUACCUUUUGGUGGGGAAUAACCACGGGAAACCGUGGCUAAUACCGCAUAUACUGGUGACAGUAAAGAUGGCCUCUAUUUAUAAGCUAUCGCCAAUUGAGCGGCCUAUGCCCCAUUAGCUAGUUGGCAGGGUAAAAGCCUACCAAGGCAACGAUGGGUAGCUGGUCUGAGAGGACGAUCAGCCACACUGGAACUGAGACACGGUCCAGACUCCUACGGGAGGCAGCAGUGGGGAAUAUUGCACAAUGGGCGCAAGCCUGAUGCAGCAACGCUGUGUGAGUGAAGAAGGCCUUUGGGUCGUAAAGCUCUUUCGGCCGGGAAGAAGGGUGAUACCGUGAAUAAUCGUAUCAUUUGACUGUACCGGAAUAAGAAGCACCGGCUAACUACGU
rnacentral:rRNA from 1 species